UACGAAGGGUGCAAGCGUUACUCGGAAUUACUGGGCGUAAAGCGUGCGUAGGCGGUUUGUUAAGUCCGCUGUGAAAGCCCUGGGCUCAACCUGGGAAUUGCAGUGGAUACUGGCAAGCUAGAGUGCGGUAGAGGAUGGUGGAAUUCCCGUGUAGCGGUGAAAUGCGUAGAUAUUCGGAGGAACACCAGUGGCGAAGGCGGCUCACUGGUCCAUUAC
rnacentral:rRNA from 1 species